AUCGCAAAAAAUCUAUUUUGAGUGUUUGGUAAAAAAUUAUUAAAAAGUGAUUUUUUGCGUUUUAUAGACAUCAAAACGUGAUAAUCCAAAAGUAGGUUACCCCCUACUGCAGGAAAACGGGAUUUUCCAUCAUAUUUUAUCUCCCCACAACUACCUCUAAUAUUUAGCGCCAUAUAAACUCUGAUGCCCUUGGACUCCCGGAGAAGAAGAAAAAAAUACGAUCGCCUGCAUUCAAAUCAUCUCUCUCGGAUCUUUCCACAUCUGAAUCUGGCCAGAUCUCAUCUAACAGGGAAUGGAUUUGAACCAUGAACAAGCCACAAGUAAGCUUUCAUCUACCAAGGCUAGUGCUCGAAAAACUGUUUGGGAUUCUAGUACCCAUAUGAUAUUUGUUGAGUUGUGUCUCGAGGAAGUAAAAAAUGGUAAUAGACCUGCGAGCCACUUCAAUAAGGUUGGGUGGACGAACCUAGCAAAUAAUCUAAAAACUCGAACAGGAAAAGAUUACUUAACCCAUUGCAUUGAAGUACAAGUUCAAUUUAUACAGAUAAGUACUAUGUUGUUGAUGCCGGGUACCCAAAUACCAGAGGCUAUCUUGCUCCAUAUAAAGGAAAUGAUGUUCGUUAUCAUAUACCGGAUUUUCGUCGAGGUCAAACAGCUGCCCAACGCGCUCCGAAAGGACUAAAAGAGACAUUUAACUACUAUCACUCAUCUUUAAGAAAUGUGAUCGAACGAACAUUUGGAGUAUGGAAGGCAAGGUGGGCAAUAUUAAAAGAUAUGCAUGUUAAUUACUCUUAUGAAACACAGGUCGACAUUGUGAUAGCAUCCAUGGCAAUUCACAACUACAUUAGGAUGAAAGGUCAUUUUGAUGAAGCAUUUAACAAAGCACAACAUGAAACUUAUCGUCCAACUCGAGAUGUUGAAGGUGAUACAUCCAUCAGAACUACUGGAACACAAGAAGACAUAACUACACGUCGUAGGCAAGACGAUAUGUAUAUGAGUUCGGUAAGAGAGAGAAUUGCAAGAGAUAUUAUGCAAUCCAAUUGAAUGUUUGUCUAUUGCAAUUGCGGUACUGAUGCAGAAUAGUGAAUAAUUUGUUUACUUACCUUGCACCGAAAUCAUAUGGCGUAGCGAUUGAACUGGAGUUUAUUUUUAUUGACUUCUUGAUAUUGUUUGUUUGAUUUGAUGGUUAAUGUCUUUUUUUGUCAUUUCACUUAUUUAUUUUUUAAAAUAUAUAUUUGCCAAA